rnacentral:tRNA from 1 species
ACCGCGAUAGCUCAGCUGGUAGAGCAUCUGCCCGAUAAGCGGAGAGUAGAUGGUUCCAUUCCAGCUCGCGGAA